UACGAAGGGGGCUAGCGUUGUUCGGAUUUACUGGGCGUAAAGCGCACGUAGGCGGAUCGGUAAGUCGGGGGUGAAAUCCUGGAGCUCAACUCCAGAACUGCCUUCGAUACUGGGAGUCUCGAGUUCGGGAGAGGUGAGUGGAACUGCGAGUGUAGAGGUGAAAUUCGUAGAUAUUCGCAAGAACACCAGUGGCGAAGGCGGCUCACUGGCCCGAUACUGACGCUGAGGUGCGAAAGCCAGGGGAGCAAACGGG
rnacentral:rRNA from 1 species